GCAAAUUCCCAACUUGAGUAGACGAUACGUACUCAGACCAUCACUGCAAAUCGUAAUAGCCGCAUUUAUCAAUACAUGUACAGUACCCUAAUCCUUGGGAUAAUUCUGUUUUCAGAUAUGCACGACCAUUUACAUUUUAACGGACAAAAUUCAGUUUAUUCCUUUGACGGAGUGAUUUACAAAAAACAUUGGUAGAAAAGUGGGUAAUUGAAGAUGUUUGGGAAUUGCUUGAGGAGAUUCAUCUGAGUGACGCAAAAGAAACGUUCAGAGGCACCAGUUGAGGCAGUGCUGGGAACUUACAUCGUUAGAUGUCCUCCACCAAAUCACCUACACCGAAGGGGAACGACUGAUUCCAUAACGAUCUUUGCCACUGGACAUUAAGGAAGGCGUUGCUGGCAAGAGCGGGGUUGAUAACAUCUACGGAGAGGAGAAACUUGGUGUGACAAGUUCUCUCUCAACAAACAACAUCAAAUAUAAAGUGGGUGACAGCAUCAUCAUAGAUAUCAUUGAAGAGGACAUACCAGUUUUCCUGAAAAUAGCCAAGAUAAUCCAGUUCAGAGGUAUCUGGAUGAUAUUUGGAAAGUUGCUGACACCAAAACCUUUCAACAGUCAUUACCAUGCCUUCAAACUGGAGGACCACAAUAAAUGGAUUGUGGUUUUUCCAGGAGAGGAGAAAGACUAUUGUGCUCUGGAUACUUAUAUCCAUGAUGAUGAUACAUUCAUCACGUUUCAUCACAGCGUGCACAAAAAGAGAACAGCAAAUUGAUGGAGAGACUUUGCUGGGCCUAACAGAACGGAUGGUGGAGAAAUUAUUCCCUGUAAUGAUAAAACUGGGAGCUGGGAUAUAUAAAAUUAAUGAAGGGCAAGUGCAGGCUCUAAUUCAACUGUAUCCUUAUCCAUACAGACAGGAAACCCAAGUGCCCUAUGAGGUUCAAGCACCAUGUACUGAGUAAGUAUAAAAUACAAGAAAAAAGUCAUGAUGUCAAAUAUUUAAGAAAGAUUAAACUUUUUUUAAACAGACAAAGACAUCAAUAGCCAUGCGUGGGGCAACCAUGGCCGGCUGUUUUCCUUCUCCCUGAGUUUCCCCCAGAGCUCAACGAGGCUCUCAAAAGGAAGGAUCCAUCCUUUAAAAAAAAGGAUAAAUCCCAUCUGUGUUCCCUUUUAAUCCAAGUGCUGUUCGAUAACAUUACAAAACACACAUGGUAUCCAAGACAUAAAAUGUAUGGAGAUGUUCUAGGCAGCUUGAACACAAAAUAUCCCUUCUUAAAGGAUGGCAGCCCCUCUGGCCAUGACACCUUACUAGAAUGCCUACGAAAUACAUUUAAAAAAGAAAGGAUUCCUUUGAUCCACUCAGAAACAGUUCAGCUCAUGAAGAAAAAAUAUGGGUGCAAGAGAAACAUUGAUCAGACAACUGGGGACCAUUUUUCAGAACAGAAGUUGGUGCUGGAUCUGGAAACCAUCGGAGAAGAUGAAACAAGUUUUGAGGAGCACAAUAAAACAAUAAUUGCUGAGUUACACAAAAAAGAGCCAGAUUACUAUGCAAUUAAAAAUAGAAUGAGGCUAUCUUUGUUUAAAAGAGUGGAGUACAUGGAUAGACCAACACACAAGGUGAUGGAAAUGUUUCCAUUUCUUGGAGUUCCACGGCUUAUGCAACAUGAAAUGGCAAUGCGCUUUGGGGAAGAUAUUGAUUUCAACUUAAACGACGCAUUAGUUAUAAUGACCCCAACAUCCUCAGGAUGGCAAAACGGGAAAUCCGUCGUGGCCUCUUAUCCAGUCUACUUGGAAACAAUGAGGCAAAUGGAGAAGAUCUGGAAGGAAUGCAGCCCUGAUCAUUCUGCCCCAUUUUUUUAGAGAGAACAGAAAGUUACUAUUCUGUCUAGACAAGGAAACAACAAGUCCCAACCCCACCAUCAUUUUCCAUGGAGCAACAAAUCCCCUUGAAGCAGAAAAGAUCAGCAUCAAGAUGGAUGACGUGACCAUUCUAAAUGCACAAAUGGAUGUGGCCAGAGCAUUGGAGUAUCUUUUUGGGGUUUACUUCCUUUUUGGAGUGGAGUACCUCAAACCUAUUUCACACACACUAACAUUUAUGGAACGCUACUUGUUUAGACUAAAACACAGCAAAAAAAA